AGACCUCGCGCUAUUGGAUGAGCCUGCGUUGGAUUAGCUAGUUGGUGGGGUAAAGGCCCACCAAGGCGACGAUCCAUAGCUGGUCUGAGAGGACGAUCAGCCACACUGGGACUGAGACACGGCCCAGACUCCUACGGGAGGCAGCAGUGGGGAAUAUUGCGCAAUGGGCGAAAGCCUGACGCAGCCAUGCCGCGUGUGUGAAGAAGGCUCUAGGGUUGUAAAGCACUUUCAGUGGGGAGAAAACGCCUGUAGUUAAUAGCUGCAGGAAUUGAUGUACCCACAGAAGAAGCACCGCUAACU
rnacentral:rRNA from 1 species